ensembl:lincRNA Gm29630 predicted gene 29630
CAGACUCAGGUCUCAAGUCAAAAAGAUGUCUCACUGAGGUCAGGAUGAGAAAGCACAGCUCCUUCUGAACCUGUGAAAAGACUUGCUAACUUGCUUGGAUUGGAUAUUAAUGUGAAAAGCUAACAGCAGAAGAGGGAACUUCCUCACUCCCUCCCUGAGACCCUGUUGACUGACUGAGCUGGCUUGGUCAGGGGAUACAGGCCCCCAAGAGGUGCUUUGCUCAACACAUUGAAUCCUUACUUGGUUCCACACGGAACAAGUCCUGGAGGCUAAGAUAGACCACCUCUACAUGGAAAUGAUUAUCUCUGACAAAGAGGAUGCAGCCAGAAGCAGAUCCCCUCCUGUGAUGGCACCGGCAG